rnacentral:rRNA from 1 species
UACGUAGGUGGCAAGCGUUGUCCGGAUUUAUUGGGCGUAAAGAGCUCGUAGGCGGCUUGUCGCGUCGACUGUGAAAUCCCGCGGCUCAACUGCGGGUCUGCAGUCGAUACGGGCAGGCUAGAGUUCGGUAGGGGAGACUGGAAUUCCUGGUGUAGCGGUGAAAUGCGCAGAUAUCAGGAGGAACACCGGUGGCGAAGGCGGGUCUCUGGGCCGAUACUGACGCUGAGGAGCGAAAGCGUGGGGAGCGAACAGG